UUUCCUUAAAUUAUUUUUUUUAAUGGUGAGUCGUUUGCAAAUUUAAUUAUGGUGUUGCAGUAUAUACUCUAAUUCAUAGCCGAGAGCACCGGGCUAUGGUUGUAGAACUGAUAAAACCGAAGAAAUAUAGCUUGAUUGGAAUGAAAUUGCACAAGAACAUGGUAAGUUCAUGUGGGCUUUUCAUACCCGAGACAGCUUGUGUGUACAAUUGUAGUUGUGGUCAUUCUUUCGUUUUCAGUUGUGAUUACUGGGAAAAUCACAUCGCCAGCAACAUUCUAUGCUACUGCUGGUGGUAUUGUGGCUGCUUUCCUCUCGGUUUUCUGGUCUUUUGGGUAUAUUCGUCUUUCUGAUAGGCUUCAGAAGACCGCCAAUGACCCUUUAAAGGUAGGUGGUUCAGAGAUGGAAGUGUUUCUGGUGGGAGUGUGUUUUCAAAGUGAGACUAGGUAGUUUGCCGAUUGAUAUAGCAGACUUGAUAGGGGUGUGAAGCUGGCUGAAAGUACACAUGCAAUGUUUUCUGGCAAAUCUUCAGAAGCCCGCUGAUGGAUACUGUGGAAUUCUGAAGUCCGCCGGAUGAGACGGUGGGCUUGCUGGAUACAGAUAGAAAUUGGUAGCAGCCAGCAGGGCACAAUGCCUAGAUUUUCUGUUACAGUGUGGAUCCUAAUAAAAAGACGUUAAAUAUACAAGUUAAGAAGUGUUGAAGUUGAUAGUUAGGUGCAAUGAAGGUUCUUUUUAUAAACCAUUUGUUGUAAAUUUUAUGAUGUUUGAAACAUGAAUAACACAAUAAUAGUUGGAUAUGGAUUUAAACUUAGCCAAAAAGGUAAUUGUGAAUUACAAUUUGCAUGUUAAUGAGUAUUCUCGCACAAUCGUUUCUAGCAUUUGCGCUAUAAGUGAU